rnacentral:rRNA from 1 species
UACAGAGGUCUCAAGCGUUGUUCAGAUUCAUUGGGCGUAAAGGGUGCGUAGGUGGCGCUGUAAGUCGGGUGUGAAAUUUCGGAGCUUAACUCCGAAACUGCAUUCGAUACUGCGGUGCUUGAGGACUGGAGAGGAGACUGGAAUUCAUGGUGUAGCAGUGAAAUGCGUAGAGAUCAUGAGGAAGACCAGUGGCGAAGGCGGGUCUCUGGACAGUUCCUGACACUGAGGCACGAAGGCCAGGGGAGCAAACGGG